GGUACAAAGCCAUCAGAAAAUCGGGCACCAUGUCUUCUUCUUCAUUUUGAAGAAAAUACCCCUCGUGGGUGACGAAUUACAUUAUACAUAAAUAUUUUACGAGCGCUGACUUACCCCUCUUGACGUUUUGACAGUUUGUCUGUUUGUUUUUCUGCCUUUCUGCCUCACCUUGCGACGUCGUUUCGGUUUUGCAUCGUGCACAAAUAUUAAUCCAAGACAACAUUUUCAAAACGACUUGUCUACUUAUAAGUCGUUUUGAAAAUUUUGUCUUGAAUCCGUAUCGAAAACAUUACAUGAGCGUGAGUUCGACCGUUUUGGUGCCAUCAAAAAGAUCGAAUAUAACAAAGGGGACACCCAGGCCUACAUUCUGUACGAUUAUAUUGAUGCUGCUACGGCUGCUGUGAAGGAAAUGCGUAUGCACCGAUUCACGAGCAGCUAUCGAAGGCCGCCAUCAAGCACUGUCGACGUUUACCCUGUCACCACCAUAGCGGCUCCGGUAAUGUAGUUGUUCCCUCGUCGAAUCGGGUUGCGAAAUGCUGGAACUGACACUAACCGUCAAGUCGGAAAGCCCCAGGAAAACGAGGACGGAAUCUCGGGCCACUGGAAGGGAAGACCAGUCACCCCCGCCAGCCAACGAUAGGUCCCUCCAUCAGGACAAUCCAAUAAACUGAUUCUUCAUGCAUCCACCGAAGGCCGCAUAAACUGCCGUCAUCCGGUACUGGCUCGAC